CAAAGGUGAGCCAGUACAGGAUGGACCCGCGUCUGAUUAGCUAGUUGGUAAGGUAACGGCUUACCAAGGCGACGAUCAGUAGCCGACCUGAGAGGGUGAUCGGCCACAUUGGAACUGAGACACGGUCCAAACUCCUACGGGAGGCAGCAGUGGGGAAUAUUGCACAAUGGGCGAAAGCCUGAUGCAGCAACGCCGCGUGAGUGAUGAAGGCCUUCGGGUCGUAAAACUCUGUCCUCAAGGAAGAUAAUGACGGUACUUGAGGAGGAAGCCCCGGCUAACUACGUGCCAGCAGCCGCGGUAAUACGUAGGGGGCUAGCGUUAUCCGGAUUUACUGGGCGUAAAGGGUGCGUAGGCGGUCUUUCAAGUCAGGAGUGAAAGGCUACGGCUCAACCGUAGUAAGCUCUUGAAACUGGGAGACUUGAGUGCAGGAGAGGAGAGUGGAAUUCCUAGUGUAGCGGUGAAAUGCGUAGAUAUUAGGAGGAACACCAGUUGCGAAGGCGGCUCUCUGGACUGUAACUGACGCUGAGGCACGAAAGCGUGGGGAGCAAACAGGAUUAGAUACCCUGGUAGUCCACGCUG
rnacentral:rRNA from 1 species